AGCUUUGAUCCAGAGAUUUCCGAAUGGGGAAACCCAGCAUGAGUUAUGUCAUGUUAUCGAUAUGUGAAUACAUAGCAUAUCAGAAGGCACACCCGGAGAACUGAAACAUCUUAGUACCCGGAGGAAGAGAAAGAAAAUUCGAUUCCCUUAGUAGCGGCGAGCGAAAUGGGAAGAGCCCAAACCAACAAGCUUGCUUGUUGGGGUUGUAGGACACUCUAUACGGAGUUACAAAGGACGACAUUAGACGAAUCAUCUGGAAAGAUGAAUCAAAGAAGGUAAUAAUCCUGUAGUCGAAAAUGUUGUCUCUCUUGAGUGGAUCCUGAGUACGACGGAGCACGUGAAAUUCCGUCGGAAUCUGGGAGGACCAUCUCCUAAGGCUAAAUACUCUCUAGUGACCGAUAGUGAACCAGUACCGUGAGGGAAAGGUGAAAAGCACCCCGGAAGGGGAGUGAAAUAGAACCUGAAACCGUGUGCUUACAAGUAGUCAGAGCCCGUUAAUGGGUGAUGGCGUGCCUUUUGUAGAAUGAACCGGCGAGUUACGAUUUGAUGCAAGGUUAAGCAGUAAAUGUGGAGCCGUAGCGAAAGCGAGUCUGAAUAGGGCGUUUAGUAUUUGGUCGUAGACCCGAAACCAGGUGAUCUACCCUUGGUCAGGUUGAAGUUCAGGUAACACUGAAUGGAGGACCGAACCGACUUACGUUGAAAAGUGAGCGGAUGAACUGAGGGUAGCGGAGAAAUUCCAAUCGAACCUGGAGAUAGCUGGUUCUCUCCGAAAUAGCUUUAGGGCUAGCCUCAAGUGAUGAUUAUUGGAGGUAGAGCACUGUUUGGACGAGGGGCCCCUCUCGGGUUACCGAAUUCAGACAAACUCCGAAUGCCAAUUAAUUUAACUUGGGAGUCAGAACAUGGGUGAUAAGGUCCGUGUUCGAAAGGGAAACAGCCCAGACCACCAGCUAAGGUCCCAAAAUAUAUGUUAAGUGGAAAAGGAUGUGGCGUUGCCCAGACAACUAGGAUGUUGGCUUAGAAGCAGCCAUCAUUUAAAGAGUGCGUAAUAGCUCACUAGUCGAGUGACACUGCGCCGAAAAUGUACCGGGGCUAAACAUAUUACCGAAGCUGUGGAUUGUCCUUUGGACAAUGGUAGGAGAGCGUUCUAAGGGCGUUGAAGCAUGAUCGUAAGGACAUGUGGAGCGCUUAGAAGUGAGAAUGCCGGUGUGAGUAGCGAAAGACGGGUGAGAAUCCCGUCCACCGAUUGACUAAGGUUUCCAGAGGAAGGCUCGUCCGCUCUGGGUUAGUCGGGUCCUAAGCUGAGGCCGACAGGCGUAGGCGAUGGAUAACAGGUUGAUAUUCCUGUACCACCUAUAAUCGUUUUAAUCGAUGGGGGGACGCAGUAGGAUAGGCGAAGCGUGCGAUUGGAUUGCACGUCUAAGCAGUAAGGCUGAGUAUUAGGCAAAUCCGGUACUCGUUAAGGCUGAGC
rnacentral:rRNA from 1 species